AACAUUUAUCCGCCCUCUAUUAUAUUGUUGCGUUCGAAGUUAAUUGCUGUGCGUAGGCCCAAUAGCUUCGAAAAACUAGUUCGUCGAUAUAUAAUCAUCGGUUAACUGAACUAGGAUUUCUAACAAACAGUGUCGUGUGUUGUAUCGAUUUCAUGGUAUUCUAAACAAUUUGGUUAUGAUGUAAUGACGCAUUCAGUUAUUUUAUCAAAAUAGUUUAUUCGGACAUUACUGUAACCAACAUUUUGAAAUUUUCACGUGCACGUUGUCAACUCGCAGAACGAUAGAAGGUCUGCGCACACCCAUCUUCCGCACCGAACUUCUUUUUAAAUUACUUGUAUGCCUACAAGAGCAAACUGAUAUUUACUGGAGUGGCUAGUAGCGUGUCUAAGAUAUGAAACACAUUUUAGUUUUUGCAUUUUUAAUAUAUUGUGCAGUUGGUAUUAAUGCGCAAGAUGCUUGCGCCGAGGGAGGAGGUAGGUGCGCAUGUACGACAAUCGAGGGUCGUUUAAUUGUAGAUUGCUCUGGGUUGUCCUUGUCAAGUUUACCACAUGGAAUCCCAAAUAAUACUCAAACUCUACUUAUGCAUAAUAAUAACAUUCAAACACUCCCAGAGGAUGCAUUUGCAAACCUUCCGGAUUUACUUCAAAU